rnacentral:tRNA from 1 species
AGAAUAGCUCAAUUGGCAGAGCAACGGUCUCCAAAGCCGUAGGUUAAGGGUUCGAGUCCCUUUUCU